AUGGCCAUCAGGAGAGGCUUCUUGGGGUCGGAACCGUCGUACUGCCGGAGCUCCUCCUCGUCGACCUCACCCAGCUGCACGGGCGGCGGGAGCGGCUCCGCCUCUGGCUCCUCGCGCGGCCGCUGCCGGGGAGGCGGCGGCGGCGCGAAGAUCCCCGACACGACGUGGUACAGCGCGGCGGCGACCGCCACGGCGGUGAAGAAGGCCGUCGGGGACAGCCCCGUGUACGCUAAGAUCGCCUGCUUCAGCGUCUCCCAGAGCUCCGCCACCGCCAUCGUGAAGGCUGCUAAGCUCACCUCUUCCGACGAGGGGUUUGGAGACUUCGGGGAUGAGGGGCGGGGCACUCUGGUCUUUUCGCGGCCUUCGAUUUCGAGAGGAGGAGGGUUUGGAAAGAAAUAUCGCCGAGUUUAUAAGGGGCGGCGAAGGGUGGGGAGGAGAGGUUGGGUGCGUGUGUGA
rnacentral:rRNA from 1 species